rnacentral:rRNA from 1 species
AUACGGAGGGUGCGAGCGUUGUUCGGAAUUACUGGGCGUAAAGGGCGCGCAGGCGGCUUGAUAAGUCAGAUGUGAAAGCCCACGGCUCAACCGUGGAAGUGCAUCUGAAACUGUCUGGCUUGAGUACUGGAGAGGAAAGUGGAAUUCCUGGUGUAGAGGUGAAAUUCGUAGAUAUCAGGAUGAACACCGGUGGCGAAGGCGACUUUCUGGACAGAUACUGACGCUGAGGCGCGAAAGCGUGGGGAGCAAACAGGAUUAGAAACCCUAGUAGUCC